AAGACUAUACUUUCAGGGAUCAUUUCUAUAAUUUGUUACUAGAGAAGUUUCUCUGAAUGUGUAGAGCACCAGAACCCAUGAGGAAGAGACUUAGUGAA
ensembl:snoRNA U3 Small nucleolar RNA U3